GCCCAAGUGGUGGAAUUGGUAGACACGCUACAUUCAGGGUGUAGUGUUCUUACGGACGUGCAGGUUCAAGUCCUGUCUUGGGUA
rnacentral:tRNA from 1 species